rnacentral:rRNA from 1 species
UACGAGGGGGGCAAGCGUUGUUCGGAAUUAUUGGGUCGUAAAGGGUGCGUAGGCGGUCUGACAAGUCUGAUGUGAAAUCUAUGGGCUCAACCCAUAGCCUGCAUCGGAAACUGUCGGGCUUGAGUAUGGGAGAGGUGAGUGGAAUUUCCGGUGUAGCGGUGAAAUGCGUAGAUAUCGGAAGGAACACCUGUGGCGAAAGCGGCUCACUGGACCAUUACUGACGCUGAGGCA